UACCUAUUUUAAUAAAAAUUUAAUAAAUAAAAAAAAUUUUAAGGCACAGAAUAUGUAAUCAUUCCCCGGAUUAACAAGUUAAUAUUAUGCAAAAGAACCAGCAUUGUGUAGGGCAUAUUAAAGAUAAGCAAAGUCUUCCAUAGAACCAACUGGAUUCUCUGCCCUCCAAGCCUCUUCUUUGAGGAAGAGCAUAUGUAUAGCCUAAAACACCUUUACAAUUCACCACUCAAUGCUCUAUAGCAAGACAUGGUCGUUCCCACAUAGGUAGACCGGGACGAGAAUGAACAGAAACCCAUAGGAGAUGAUGGUGAACACUCAUCUCUUAGUCCUACCGGUCAAAGGUUAUCACCAGUUCACGUAGUUCAAAAGACCUAGAGAAUGGUGGUGGAAACUAUCGUGGAUUCUUCACAGUCUCAAGUGCUUUGUGGAUGGUUCUCUGGAGCAGAAUCAGUCAGGGCAACAAAUAACUCCUUCUAGAAAGCCAAGCUGCCCCACUCACUGAGCCCUGCUAUUGUUUCCAAAAAGUGACCCAGGUCCUGGUAGUUCAGUAUUCCACAGUUGGUGCUGCUGGGUCAGAAGGGGUCCAAAAAGGUGGCUAAUCCCUCCACACCUCACUUGAGGUGUGGUACCAUAUGAAAUGUUCAGGAUUGGGCAUUGCUUAGAAAACUUGGCACUCAAAGGGGCCAAUGACCAAGCCAGUCUUUGUAAGAAGACAUUUUGUUGUUGAAUGCAUGUACAGCCUCCAGCCCUGAAUCCUACUUUGUUCACAAAACAUCAGGCAAGCACUGGCGUAGCUGGGGAGAAGGCUGAGGGACAUCCACAGAGCAGCUCACCAUAUCCACUGUUUUACAGAGACUCGCCUCUGAAGUAGAUGCUCCUUGGGCAGCACUCAUGAGGGACACAUUCUGAAGCCUAGUUCAAGAGUAUCACCCACCCGACUCUUCCCAAACCUCCUUGCUGUCAGUCCUCAGGUCUUCUCUCCUUCCAGGCAAAAUGGACCACAAGGUGGACUGUUCAAAGUGCUGUCCACUGGGAGGAUCUCCCUUAUCCUUCAACCGCAGGGCAGAUGGCUUUGCUGGGACCUCAGUGGUCCAUGUCCAACUGGUGUCAGCAGAGACAUCUGUAAACCAGACUCAAGCUUCCUCCCCCUUUCCCGAACGAAGCAAAUACUCCAUGAAGCCACAGGUGUGGCUGCUACAAGCACAAUGGAAAAAACAAUGAAAGCAACUGAAAUGUCUAGAAAUGGGGGUUCGUUAAAUAAAGUAUGCUGUAUAGAACAAAAUAAUAUACAUCUAUUUUAAAUGAUGCUAUGAAUACUCAGUGAGACUUUUUUUUCACUGAUGGGUAUAGGAAAAAUUUGGUUGCUACAAUGUUUAGUGUGAAGAUACACAUUAGGAAACAAUGAUUAUCACUGAGAUAUAAAAUUAUGAGGUGUUACUUUUCUUUUUUCCACUUAUUUGCAUAUUUUAAAUUGUAUGCAUGAGCAUGUAUUAGUUUUGUCAUUUACUUUUAAAAGAAAAACCUUUUAGUGGACAAGAAACUGCCUACCUUCUCGACAACGUGUGUUUUGAGUAUCACUGAAGGGUCAUGCUAAGGUCACUGGAAUGAUUUAAAUGCUAUUGCUUGCUAUAGAGCGUAUAAUAAGCAGGGGGAAAAAGUCAUUUUCUGCAGAAGAUUGCUUGUAGUUAUUUUUGAAGAGAUCUAAGGCAUCCAAAAGGGACUUUCUCAAUUUCUAUGUAACAAAUUC
ensembl:lncRNA